rnacentral:lncRNA from 1 species
GCUAGCUUCAGCGGUUGUCUUCGGCUUCUCCGGCUUCAACUGGCGGCGGCACGACCGAUCGGCUCGCCUGAUCGGACCCUCGAGCUGUCGGACUGGGAGUCUCCAUUGUACCAUCCGCCCGGGUGUGUGCCUCCAGAAAUCCGGCACGUGACACCUCCGACGGGGUCUGCUGGGGAGUCUGCUGGGACCUUUCCGGCGGAUGGGAGCCACUUUCCCCGCUGCCCGAAUGAGUACCCGCCGCAGGGGGAGGCACGACUUCUGUCUCCGGCGGGACACCCUCGACCACCGGCACGUCGGGCUGUGACGCCUUUACAAAGUCAAUGGCGCCCUUCCGCG